AUUUUAUUACUAACUGACGUAAUAUACGAAUAAUUUACCAGACGUAGUAAAUUGGUAGUUUGACGUGGGGCGGUCGCCUACUAAAGAGUAACAGAGGCGUGACGAAGGUAAGUUCAUUAAGAUAAAUAUCUUAAGUAGAGCGCAAUGGUAUUAAACUUGCCUGACUGUAAGAUAGACAUAUCAAGCAGAGACGAAGUCGGCCAUAGUGAUCCGGUGGUUCUGUGUGGAAAGGCCAUCGCUCAACGGAUAAAAGGUACUCCGGGGAUAACAGGCUAAUGACUCCCUAGAGCUCCUAUCGACGGAGUCGUUUGGCACCUCGAUGUCGACUCAUCACAUCCUGGAGCUGGAAAAGGUUCCAAGGGUUCGGCUGUUCACCGAUAAAAGUGGUACGUGAGUUGGGUUUAGAACGUCGUAAGACAGUUUGGUCUCUAUCUACUGCAGGCUAAAGAAAAUUGAAAAGAUCUGAUCCUAGUACGAGAG
rnacentral:rRNA from 1 species